CAUGAAGUUUAAAGGCUUAAAAGAUGAAGCCCAAGUGUUUGUUUGUUGUAGGAAUACACAUGUGUUGUACAUACACUCAUUCUUUUAUGUCUGCAGCUGCAACCCUGUGCAAAUUGCUGUUUCUUGAAGUCUCCCAUUCAUGGUCACGGUGGUAGAUUACACAUUUCCUUUCUGGAGGGCUAAUUAAAGUCAUCCAAAUUCUGAACAGUUAAUUUCUAGGUAGUCUCGAGGCAGCUGCAACAUCUAUAACCAAAGAAACACUUUUUACUUGAAUAAAUGGUCCGUAUGCUCUUUGAUAUUUUAUCAGGCUGACUUGGGAAAGGCAGAUGUUUAACACUCAGAUACUGCUCUCAUGGAUGGGGUUCAUCUGGUCCCUGCUGAAAACAAGAGGAUUCUGCUUAAUUUGUGAAAAUGUGAGAUUAAAAUCACAGGAGGAGGUGUGGAAGGAGUAUUGCUCAAACUUCAGAAGAGUCUGCUUUAUAUACUUCCAGCAGAAAUGCCACAUUUCUGGUUUCUUUCACCAGCUGAAGGUGAACAGAUUUGAAGAAGUCUUUCAAACACGUUGGGGAUCAAACUGAGUUUUCACUGCGAGAUGGGGAAAAAAAUCACACUUGCUUUGGUGUCCAGAAGAAAGGCAGGUGUCAAGAGGUGCAAUGCUUCAUUUUAAAGUCACACUAGUCACAUGCAGCCUUUUCCCCACUGCACAGAAGUAGGCGAUACACCAGGGCAAGCUUGACAAUUCACCUCCAUGAGUGGAUUUUGUUUGUUCACUCCUACAAGCAAGUUCCAUGUCCCCAGAGAGUCCGCCCUGCUGCAGCUGAAACCC
rnacentral:lncRNA from 13 species